ACUCAAAUGAAUAGACGGGGCUCCGCACAAGCAGAGGAGGAUGUGGUUUAAUAUGACGCUACGCGUAGAACCUUACCGAGGCUUGACAUCCCUGGAACCCCGCGGAAACGUGGGGGUGCCUUCGGGAGCCAGGUGACAGGUGCUGCAUGGCCGUCGUCAGCUCGUGUCGUGAGAUGUUGGGUUAAGUCCCGCAACGAGCGCAACCCUUAUCGUAUGUUGUAUUUUUCAUGCGAGACCGCCCGGGCCAACCGGGAGGAAGGUGGGGAUGACGUCAGGUCGGCAUGGCCCUUACGCCUCGGGCCACACACGUCCUACAAUGGCCGGUACAACGCGUUGCCAACCCGCGAGGGGGAGCUAAUCGCACCAAAACCGGUCCCAGUUCGGAUUGGAGGCUGCAACUCGCCUCCAUGAAGUCGGAUUUGCUAGUAACCGUGGGUCAGCACACCGCGGUGAAUACGUUCCCGGAGCUUGUACACACCGCCCGU
rnacentral:rRNA from 1 species